GUUUUGACACUGAGAACCAGUCCACGCAGGGGCCUUGGUGACUGAGAUGCUGUUGCCCCCACCACAUUUAUGUGUAGUUUGCAAACUGACAGAUUGAUCCAUCAAGGGUUCCAGGAGCAGAAGCGCAUCUCAUUCUGUUAUUCUGUGAGGCCCUUGGCCACGCUCCCUGUGUGAUGUGCUGGAGAUUUACUCAUUGGGGCUGGUUCUGUUGCUGCCUCUGGAUGAAAAUUGGGGAAGGCCCUACUGACUUUCUGGUACCUAUUCAGUAACAGAAGGUCCUACAGCCCCUGUAAAUUGCAAAACUCAGUUGCACAUCAGUAAUUAAAAUAGUCAGUCCAGUGCAAUUUCCAAAACUUUGAACUUAGUCUCUGGGGUUUGCUACAUACAGGGCAGCUUGCUGUCAUGGAAGGGAGG